rnacentral:tRNA from 1 species
UUUAAAAUAAGCUAAAUUAAGCUUUUGGGUUCAUACCCCAAAUAUAAAGAGACACCUUUUUUUAAAA